UACGUAGGGUCCGAGCGUUGUCCGGAAUUACUGGGCGUAAAGAGCUCGUAGGUGGUUUGUCGCGUUGUUCGUGAAAACUCACAGCUCAACUGUGGGCGUGCGGGCGAUACGGGCAGACGUUGAGUACUGCAGGGGAGACUGGAAGUUCCUGGUGUAGCGGUGGAAUGCGCAGAUAUCAGGAGGAACACCGGUGCGAAGGCGGGUCUCUGGGCAGUGAACUGACGCUGAGGAGCGAAAGCGUGGGGAGCGAACAGGA
rnacentral:rRNA from 1 species